GACGAACGCUGGCGGCGUGCUUAACACAUGCAAGUCGAACGGAAAGGCCCUGCUUUUGUGGGGUGCUCGAGUGGCGAACGGGUGAGUAACACGUGAGUAACCUGCCCUUGACUUUGGGAUAACUUCAGGAAACUGGGGCUAAUACCGGAUAGGAGCUCCUGCUGCAUGGUGGGGGUUGGAAAGUUUCGGCGGUUGGGGAUGGACUCGCGGCUUAUCAGCUUGUUGGUGGGGUAGUGGCUUACCAAGGCUUUGACGGGUAGCCGGCCUGAGAGGGUGACCGGCAACAUUGGGACUGAGAUACGGCCCAGCCUCCUACGGGAGGAAGCAGUGGGGAAUAUUGCACAAUGGGCGGAAGCCUGAUGAAGCAACGCGGCGUGCGGGAUGACGGCCUUCGGGUUGAAACCCGCUUUCGCCUGUGACGAAGCGUGAGUGACGGUAAUGGGUAAAGAAGCACCGGCUAACUACGU
rnacentral:rRNA from 1 species